ACGCACGCUGGCGGCGUGCCUAACACAUGCAAGUUGAGCGACGAACCAGGGCUUGCCCUGGGGCAAAGCAGCGAACGGGUGAGUAACACGUGGGUAACCUACCCCGAUAACCGGGACAACCCGAGGAAACUCGGGCUAAUACCGGAUGUGCUCACUGGACUUCGGUUCAGUGCGUAAAGGAAGCUUCGGCCUCCGUAUCGGGAGGGGCCCGCGGCCCAUUAGUUUGUUGGCGAGGUAACGGCUCACCAAGACCGCGAUGGGUAGCUGGUCUGAGAGGGCGAUCAGCCACACUGGGACUGAGACACGGCCCAGACUCCUACGGGAGGCAGCAGUGGGGAAUCUUGCGCAAUGCGCGAAAGCGUGACGCAGCAACGCCGCGUGGGGGAAGAAGGCCUUCGGGUUGUAAACCCCUUUCAGGAGGGACGAAGGUUCGGCGGUGAAUAGCCGUCCGGACUGACGGUACCUCCACAAGAAGCCCCGGCUAACUACGUG
rnacentral:rRNA from 1 species